rnacentral:rRNA from 1 species
GGGGGGGGAGGCCACGUGGUUUUUUUGCCCCCCACGCCUUUUGGGGGGGGACAGGCUAGCUUUUCUCCCCCUUCUUCUUCUUCUCAUCCUCAUCUUUUUCCUGCUAUCCCACGUGUGUUGGGAGAGUGGAGGAGGAAGUGUGUGUGUUUGGAGGAAGAAGGGCAGUGGGGGAAAUAUCGGGAGGCUAGUGUGCGGGCGCAGGUGUGUGGUCACGGCUCUCACAACGUGCGCGAUC